rnacentral:rRNA from 1 species
UACAGAGGGUGCGAGCGUUAAUCGGAAUUACUGGGCGUAAAGGGUGCGUAGGUGGUUAAUUAAGUCAGAUGUGAAAGCCCUGGGCUCAACCUGGGAAUGGCAUUUGAAACUGGUUAGCUAGAGUAUGGUAGAGGGAAGUGGAAUUUCCGGUGUAGCGGUGAAAUGCGUAGAUAUCGGAAGGAACACCAGUGGCGAAGGCGACUUCCUGGACCAAAACUGACACUGAGGCACGACAGCGUGGGGAGCAAACAGG